AAUAUAUAAUGGAUCUAGAGUCUGAAAAAUCACGCAACAAUGUUUUGCUAUCAACUUCAUCUUUUGUAAGAUAACAUUAUCGAGAUUGUAGUUAAAUGACAGCACAAGUUGU